GGAGAGAGUGGUUGGUCCUCUGACGGGCACUGCACUUCAAUGGAAGCAGAGCAGCAGAUCAUCCCAAAACAGUUCCGAGCAGAGACUUGAUAAACAGCAGUGUCAUUUUGGGUACAGCUAGGAUGAAGAGAGGAGACAUGCCAUGAUCCAUCUGCUGAACAAACCAGCUACCCUGAAGGUACUAUGAUUCAUGUAGGAAGAAGAGAAAGGAAGAGGAAAAAAUGACCCUGAGAGGCACAAAGGACAGGAUAAAAGGCAAUGCCACAAACACACAGGGUGGGCUUCCCAGGUGGCGUUGGAGGUAAAGGACUCGCCUGCCAAUGCAGGAGAUGGAAGAGACGCAGAUCGAUCCCUGGGUCAGGAAGAUCUCCUAGAGAAGGAAAUGGCAACCUGCUCCAAUAUUCUUGCCUGGAGAAUCCCAUGGACAGAGGAGCCUGGCAGGCUACCCCAAAAGAGCCUGACUCUUUUGGGGUCCAAAAGAGUCAGACACGAAUGAGACAACUUAGCACGUAGCACACAUGACAGUGUUGUAAAGUGACAAACUUCAGUGACUUAACUGGCUAAAAUCACUGUGGUUUGAAGUUGAAUGAAGUGAACUGCUGCGUCCGACCUAGGCAUGUGUCAUCGAAGUCACUGCUGAGAACACGCAUGGUGAAGAAAGCCCCUCUCCGGUUGGACCUCCACAUUCUCCCAGGCUCCCUGAGUCCUCUAGCUCACCUUCCCUGCAACAAAAACCCCAGAGCAACCCCCAGAGUCAUCCCUCUUUGGAGACUGUUUAUUACAGAUGGACCUAGAGGUGACAUCCCGUGGAAUCUGAGGCAUCAGCCAGUGUCGGGGAGGACUUGGGAAAUGUCCCACUCCCUGCCCUGUAAUGGGCAAGAACAACACUGCCUCUGAGGUAAUGAGCUGAGCCUGCAUUAACUAUGCUGAACAAACCACCUGUCAGCGAGCCAGGGCGGAGAAAACCAUAUGACUGGAGAUGGGGGACAAGUGCUGUGGAGACUGUCAAUAUUAUCUCAGCCACCUCCUUCCACCCUCCUCAACAUAGCCAGUUAGAGGGGCUUAGGAGAAAACUUUCUAUUUUUGCCUCUACUUGGUUUGUUUUCUGAAGAAUUUUUAAAAUCAUUCUUUAUCUUUCCCCCACCCCCCAAGUAAAGUGUGGCUUAGAGAGAAGGAGCUUCACACCCAAUGGUUCAUUCCAUUCCAGAAUAGAACCAUUUUGUAGAAGGGCUUUCCAGGUGUCUCCAUGGGAAAGAAUCCACCUGCCAAGCAGGAGAUGCAGGUCAGGAAGGUCCCCUGGAGAAGGAAAUGAUAACCCACUCCAGUGUUCCUGCCUGGGAAAUCUCAUGGACAGAGAAGCCUGGCAGACUCCAGUCCAUGGGGUCACAAACAGUCAGACAUGACUAAGUGACUGAGCACAUCCUAAACCUUUGAAGCGUGAAUGCUGCCCACUGCCAAACUUAAACUUAAGGGAGGAGAUGGUAUGACUUUAGAGGCCUUUCUUCAAAAUGUCCAAAAUCUCCCGAAGUGGCCACUUGCUUGUCUCGCUAACUUCAUUGCCUCUCUCAUCACUCAAACCUGCUGAGGGGUAAGCUAGACUGCCCCCUCCCUGCUCUGCAGGCUCGGAUGGGUCUAAACUGAUCAAGUACUCUUGCUGGGUGACUGGUUGCUAAGGUCUAAGCCAAUCAGCACAUGGGUUUCUGCAGAAAGUUCCACAGUUAUCCAGUCAGUGGAAAGCUGAAGUCUUUUGCCCUGUUCUCUAACGAGGAAAAACAAAACAUGCAGACCCCAAGGGAGGCUGAUACCAGAUGAGACUGAGAAAGCCAGCCUAAGGCUGAAACCAAAGCACACAAAACAGCAGAGUCUCCAGAAGUGCGGAGACCAGAGCUGGGGUCCCAACCACACUUCUUGGGCUUCAUAGUUGGGGGAGCAAGAAGAGCUGAUUUUUAAUUCCGAUGUUCUGAUUGUUGUUUUUGACUUUUGAUGUUCUAGUAAGCACACAGAUGCAUCUGCACUUCCCCCUCCCUGGCCCAUGGUGUUUGAAAUCCCUACCAUUAGCCCUCCAUUCUCAAGAUCUAUGUGGACAUGCCAGAUUACAGACAGAAGUUAAGGAUUUAAGAUUAGAUGGCUUAAUCAAAGAAUGCUUGUCUAAGAAAGUUCUAGGGACAACUAACCAAAUCAACCUAAUGCAUUUCUGAUUUCCAUUGGCAUCCUGUCUCUUUCUGCCCUUCAUGUUUUGUUUGGGGGUUUUUCUGUUGCUGUUGUUAUUGUUUCCUUUAUAGAAUGAGACCACCUUCCAUCUCUGUAUAUUCAAAUCCCACCAGUUUCAAACUCCAUCUUAAGUGCUGGCUUGUCCUUGAAACCAUCCUGCUAGCCUCAGCUGGAAAAAGCAGCCUCCUCCUAAGUGAUAGAGCCCUAACCUAAGCAGGAAAAAGCAGCCCCUCCCAAGUAGUGGACUGCCCACCUCGGUGUGUCCUCCCCACGCACAGUCUUGCCAGCAGACAUGCUCCGCUGCAGGCUGUUUGCCUGCAGGACGCCUGAUGGGUUUAUCUUUUGUGUUCUCCACAGCUGUUGCUUAUUGUGGCUUAGCCUUCUGCAUCUGAGAAGUAGGCAAGGUUAGUGUUUGAAAAGAACCAGGGCAGAAAUUACAGGCUGAAGAAAUGGCUAAAGUGGUUCUCAAAGUGCUGGUCCCUGGACCACACUAUCAGCCUCACCUGGGAACUUACCAGAAGUGCAAAUACUUGGGACCUUCAGAAUCAGAAACUCUGGGGGAGGAACCCAGGAAAAUGUGUCUGUACAAGCUCUCUAGAUGCUGCUGCACUAAGAGUUUGAGAAGUUUGAGAACCACGGGACUAGAGGAGGGUCUUAAACUACUGACUGAGGAGUGAACGACCCUGGUUUUCUAAGAGCAGGAUUGAAGACCAAGUGGCAAUCAAGGUGAGAACACUGGAGUUCAGACUGGCUGGAAACUGUGCUAAAGUCGGGAUCUGGUUCCAAACCCUGCCUCUGAGCCUGGGCUUGAUUCCUCAGCUCCACUCUGCGUCCUGCACCUCCCUCCAGAUUAGGACACUCGACAGCAUCCUCCUCCCACAGGCUGAUAGCUGCACAUAAGUGUGUGUGGGGUGAUGCAAAGUAAAUUAAAUUGGGAGAAGGUGUCUUUUCAAAGUGAUGAAAAUUAGGAAUUCCACCCUACCUAAAAACCUUCCCCAAUUGUUACUGCAUGCUUUGCGAAGAACUUCAAAGGACAAUGGAGUUUGGGAGAUUAAAUCCAUUUAAAUUUCUUUUAAAUCUGGAUUUCAAGAUCUGAUCAUGCUUCUCGAUCAUCAGUGCCUUUUGCUACAGGAUUUGUCCCUCCGUCCAUUCAGAAGGCGGCUCACAACAUCCAGGGUUUCGGCUCAGAAGCCCAACAGCAAAGGAACUGGUUCGAUCUACCCUUGACUGACAUUGCCAGUAUAAAACGUUUCUGACCACUCCUGGUUAACUAGUCAUCCGAAAAUGAGGGCUACCUUUACCUGAGGAGAAGGCUGUGGAAGGGAAAUAAUUACAGCAAUAGCAGCUCUAAAUGCCGCUCUUAUCUAUUUUUAAAUGCCUGCCAGAUGUCUGUAACUGACACCCUUAAUCAGUGCUUUGAGUUCAGAUGUGUUUAUCAGAAUGUGACCGUGCUGCUGUUUCAUCAGUCUUUCUGGGGUUGACUUUUUGCCUUCAAUUUUCAAAAACAUCCUAGUUAGCAUCUCAAGUACAGUGUCAUGCCAACAGUUAACAAUACUGUUUUCUUUUCUUCCAUUUUAGUUUUGUUUGCUUUAUUUUUUUUUAACAAUACGGUUUUGUGCACUUAAACAUGUAUUAAGACAGUAGAUCUCAAAUAUUCUUACCCCAGUUUUUAAAAAGGAAAGAAAACCUUUUCAAAGACUCAGUGAAUGUUUGCACUGGCCAUUUUGAAAUGCCUGAGGGCUAUGCAGCAGCUUUCAUUCCUGUCAUCAGACAAGGGACCGCUGGGUCCCUUCUCAAAGUUAUUCCCAUAAAAGGAAUAACUUUUGUCUGAAACACUCAAAUAUGUCAGGCAGAAGUACCGACGGGGGGCUGCGUCACCUGGGUCAUUACCUCAGAUUUUCACCGUAUUUUUCUUUGCAAAACCUUCACAAAUCAUUCUUUUCAUUCAUCCUUAAUGUUUAUUUUUUUUCUAAUUAUUGAGAUACCCAUGAGGUGAAAGAAUCUUUUAAAGUGGCUGUCAAGCCAAAAUGGUCAUUAAAAAAUAAUAAUAAUAGAUUUGCAAAAGUGUCAGAAUGGACAGAAAUGAAAAAAAAGAGAAGGAGCUUUUGGCCACUUGAAAACCCUGCAGUGUACCCAAGCAUGCUCUGUAGACCCUACUCAUUUCAUCCUGUUCUAGUUUCUAAGGAAACAGGGGGCUUAGUUCCCUUUUGCAGAAACUGUAAACAACGGCAUAUGUAAAGCACAGCCAUUCCUUAGGUUAAAAACCAGAGCCUAGAUACUUACUUUUCA